AUCCAACUGACGAGUCCCAAAUAGGACAAAAUGUUUGUGUUGGAU
rnacentral:hammerhead_ribozyme from 1 species